rnacentral:rRNA from 1 species
UUGCACGCUGGCGGCAGGCCUAACCCCUGCCAGUCGAGCGGAUGAAGGGAGCUUGCUCCUGGAUUCAGCGGCGGGCGGGUGAGUAAUGCCUAGGAAUCUGCCUGGUAGUGGGGGAUAACGUCCGGAAACGGGCGCUAAUACCGCAUACGUCCUGAGGGAGAAAGUGGGGGAUCUUCGGACCUCACGCUAUCAGAUGAGCCUAGGUCGGAUUAGCUAGUUGGUGGGGUAAAGGCCUACCAAGGCGACGAUCCGUAACUGGUCUGAGAGGAUGAUCAGUCACACUGGAACUGAGACACGGUCCAGACUCCUACGGGAGGCAGCAGUGGGGAAUAUUGGACAAUGGGCGAAAGCCUGAUCCAGCCAUGCCGCGUGUGUGAAGAAGGUCUUCGGAUUGUAAAGCACUUUAAGUUGGGAGGAAGGGCAGUAAGUUAAUACCUUGCUGUUUUGACGUUACCAACAGAAUAAGCACCGGCUAACUUCGUG